rnacentral:rRNA from 1 species
CCAAUAGCGUAUAUUAAAGUUGUUGCAGUUAAAAAGCUCGUAGUUGAAUUUCGGGAUCAGUACGCCGGUCGUGCCUUCGGUAUGCACUGGUGUCACUGGUCCCUCCCUUCUGACGAACCGUCAUGCCAUUCACUUGGUGUGGCGGGACAUCAGGACUGUUACUUUGAAAAAAUUAGAGUGUUUAAAGCAGGCUCACGCUUUGAUCCAUUAGCAAGGAAUAAUGAAAUAGGACGGUGAUCUUAUUUUGUUGGUUUCUAGGAUUGACGUAAUGAUUAAUAGGGAUAGUUGGGGGCAUUAGUAUUCAAUUGUCAGAGGUGAAAUUCUUGGAUUUAUUGAAGACUAACUACUGCGAAAGCAUUUGCCAAGGAUGUUUUCAUUAAUCAAGAACGAAAGUUAGGGGAUCGAAGACGAUCAGAUACCGUCGUAGUCUUAACCAUAAACUAUGCCGACUAGGGAUCGGAUGAUGUUAAUUUUUUAAUGACUCAUUCGGCGCCUUACG